CAGCAGUCGCCGCGGUAAAACGGAGGGUGCAAGCGUUAAUCGGAAUUACUGGGCGUAAAGCGCACGCAGGCGGUCUGUCAAGUCAGAUGUGAAAUCCCCGGGCUUAACCUGGGAACUGCAUUUGAAACUGGCAGGCUAGAGUCUUGUAGAGGGGGGUAGAAUUCCAGGUGUAGCGGUGAAAUGCGUAGAGAUCUGGAGGAAUACCGGUGGCGAAGGCGGCCCCCUGGACAAAGACUGACGCUCAGGUGCGAAAGCGUGGGGAGCAAACAGGAUUAGAUACCCCUGUAGUCCCUGUCUCUUAUAC
rnacentral:rRNA from 1 species